rnacentral:rRNA from 1 species
AUUGAACACUGGCGGCAGGCCUAACACAUGCAAGUCGAGCGGAGCGGCGGACGGGUGAGUAAUGCUUAGGAAUCUGCCUGGUAGCGGGGGAUAACGUCCGGAAACGGGCGCUAAUACCGCAUACUAUCAGAUGAGCCUAGACCGGUUUAGCUAGUUGGUGGGGUAAAGGCCUACCAGGGCGACGAUCCGUAACUGGUCUGAGAGGGUGAUCAGCCACACUGGAACUGAGACACGGCCCAGACUCCUACGGGAGGCAGCAGGGGGGAAUAUUGGACAAUGGGCGAAAGCCUGAUGCAGCCAUGCCGCGUGUGUGAGGAAGGUCUUCGGAUUGUAAAGCACUUUAAGUUGGGAGGCGGUACCAACAGAAUAAGCACCGGCUAACUUCGUGCCAGCAGCCGCGGUAAUAC